CCUGCAGUCAGAGUCGGCGAAGUCCGGCUCCUGUAGGAGUCCGGGCGAAGUCUACCUGCAAUUGAAGUCGGGGAUGAAGUCCGGCUCCCGUAAGAGUUCGGACGAAGUCUUCCUGCAGUCGGAGUCGGCGAAGUCUGACUCCCGUAGGAGUUCGGGUGGAGUCUACCUACAAUUGAAGUUGUGGAUGAAGUCCGGCUCCCGUAGGAGUACGGACGAAGUCUUCCUG
rnacentral:lncRNA from 1 species